rnacentral:rRNA from 1 species
CUUAAGCAUAUCAAUAAGCGGAGGAAAAGAAACCAACAGGGAUUGCCCUAGUAACGGCGAGUGAAGCGGCAACAGCUCAAAUUUGAAAUCUGGCGCAAGCCCGAGUUGUAAUUUGUAGAGGAUGCUUCUGGGCAGCGGCCGGUCUAAGUUCCUUGGAACAGGACGUCACAGAGGGUGAGAAUCCCGUAUGUGACCGGCGCGCACCCUCCACGUAGCUCCUUCGACGAGUCGAGUUGUUUGGGAAUGCAGCUCUAAAUGGGAGGUAAAUUUCUUCUAAAGCUAAAUACCGGCCAGAGACCGAUAGCGCACAAGUAGAGUGAUCGAAAGAUGAAAAGCACUUUGGAAAGAGAGUUAAAAAGCACGUGAAAUUGUUGAAAGGGAAGCGCUUGCAACCAGACCCCGUGGCGGUGUUCCGCCGGUCUUCUGACCGGUCCACUCGCCGCCGCGGGGCCAACAUCGUCUGGGGCCGCCGGACAAGACUGGAGGAAUGUGGCUCCCUCGGGAGUGUUAUAGCCCUCAGUGAUGCGGCGUGCCCCGGGCGAGGUCCGCGCUUCGGCAAGGAUGUUGGCGUAAUGGUUGCCAGCGGCCCGUCUUGAAACACGGACCAAGGAGUCUAACAUCUAUGCGAGUGUUCGGGUGUCAAACCCCUACGCGUAAUGAAAGUGAACGGAGGUGGGAGCUUCGGCGCACCAUCGACCGAUCCUGAUGUCCUCGGAUGGAUUUGAGUAAGAGCAUAGCUGUUGGGACCCGAAAGAUGGUGAACUAUGCCUGAAUAGGGUGAAGCCAGAGGAAACUCUGGUGGAGGCUCGCAGCGGUUCUGACGUGCAAAUCGAUCGUCAAAUUUGGGUAUAGGGGCGAAAGACUAAUCGAACCAU